UGCAUUGGCAGGCAGACUCUCAACCACUGCGCCACCAGGGAAGCCCACUGGUGUAGCUUUUUAUACUCACAUUGAAAAUUAAUCACUGAUUUAUUAUCCAUAUUAUUAUUUCAGUGAUUUAAACAUUGCAAGGGACUUGCAAUGUUAGAUAUGUGAAACAAUGAAAAUCUCAUAAAUAAUAAGUUUACAUUAUUAAAAACCAGAAAAAGAGAAUUUGGCUUUUAACUGCUUCUGGCUCAUCAGUUAAGAUUAUUUGAAUAUAUUUUCAACUUGGAUUGCAAAGUAUUAUAAUUUAAGAAUGGUACAAAAUAUAAUUUAAGGCUUUUAAAAAUCAUUAACAAAAACAGACACAUGUAUGACAGUGUUGCUCACAUCUCUUUUUUUUUACUGUAUGUUUACUUUUUCUUUUUUAACCAAACAGUUGUUUGUUUUUUUUUAAUACUUUUUUGGUUGGACCACACACCAUGUCGGAUGUUAGUUCCCCGACCAGGGAUGGAACCCAUGCCCCUUGCAUUGGAAGCGAGGAAUCUUAACCACUGUACUGCCAGGGAAGUCCCUGUAUGUUUACUUCUUAAUGUAUGGUGAGCAGGAAGCUACUGCCGUUGAAAAAGAUAGUGUUACAGUUCCCAAGAGGAGAGGGCACACCUUGCCACACAGGGACUCACAGGUGAGUUGAAGAAGCUCAAGGAAGAAGAGCACGAGUGACCCAGAGAAGGCACACGAGACACAACAGCCUUUCGGUCUGGAAGUCAAGGCUGAGGAGGAACGUUACCCCAAUCUAUAAAAUCGUGGUGAGUGUGGAUGGGUGCGGUGAACUUGGACUUGCUGUCAAAUUCCAAAACACUAAAAAUUAAGGCAGCAACCCUUGAAACUUAAGGAAAAGAAUAUUUAGAGGCAAAAAGCUCCAUAUUAUCUUCAUGCUGUGUAAGAAACAGGAUUGCGAGGUGGUAUAGGGAGACGUUUUGAAACUGAAUUGUUAAACGAGAAGGCAUGUUGGAGACCAUUUGUCCAAAUCCUCACUCCCCCCAUGGGGAAAGCGACCCAAGAGAGGUUAGGUGUCUUUGGCAAGGAGAUACAGUAAAAUCCAGGUAAUUGAAUAUUCAUUAAAUAAAUAUAAGCACUUACUCCUUCAGGCACUGUAUAAAGUUUAUUCUACACUGCCAUGUGAUUAGACAAAUCCGUUAACAAUUUCUAAAGGAAAGGUUUCUAAAGGGUUUUUGAUAGAAGCUAGGAAUUUAGGAGUAUAUCUGCUUUAACGCUGAGAACAUGAAAGAUAGUUUAGCAGUCCUACAAAACACAUACUAAUACAACUGUCCAAGACUGAACAAAGGCCAGGAUAGACCAUUAGAGAGAUUCACAUUUGAUUACCCUUAUUCAGUGGCUGGUUCUUAUAAAGGUGCCAAAAAUGAUGAAAUAAAUAUCUGCCUUUCGGGAUUGUCUGUGUGACAGCUCUCCAUUAGCAUAAAUAAACAGCAGUUAAUGAUUCACUGACUGUCAUUCCUGGGUCAUGUGCAGACAUGGAGGUGUGGCCUCAAAGACAAUUAAUGAGAAAACAUGUUUUUUGGCCUUAUGUUACAUUGUUGUAGUUAGAUUGGACUAUGUACACUGAGGCUUAGAAAUUUACAAUACUUUAAACUAAAGAAGGGGCUUCUCUGGCAGUCCAGUGGUUAGGACUCCAUGCUUCCACUGCAGGGGGCCUGGUUGGGGAAACAGGACCCCGUGUGCCGUGUGUGGUUAAUUAAAAAAAAAAAAACAACUAAUGAAUUUUAUUACAACGUGUCUUCUGUUGGCAUUCCUGAAUUUUUUCCUAGACCUUGUUCCUCCCAUUAAACUCAUUUUUAGAAAAGGCUCGGUAUUUGCUGGACUUUACAGAUUCAGACUUUAUGAAGAUUCAAACAAUGAAGCC